CUCAAGGGAACUCAGCAGUGAUAGACAUUAAGCCAUAAGUGAAAACUUGACUUAGUUAAAGCUAAAAGAGCCGGUAAAACUCGUGCCAGCCACCGCGGUUAUACGAGAGGCCCAAGUUGAAAGACACCGGCGUAAAGCGUGGUUAAGCUAAAAUUUAAAUUAAAGUUAAACAUCUUCAAGACUGUUAUACGUACCCGAAGACAGGAACCUCAAUUACGAAAGUAACUUUAUACAAGCUGAACCCACGAAAGCUAUGGCACAAACUGGGAUUAGAUACCCCACUAUGCCUAGCCAUAAACAUUGAUAGCACAGCACCCCUGCUAUCCGCCAGGGAACUACGAGCAACAGCUUAAAACCCAAAGGACUUGGCGGUGCUUUAGACCCACCUAGAGGAGCCUGUUCUAGAACCGAUAACCCCCGUUCAACCUCACCCUUUCUUGUUUUCCCCGCCUAUAUACCGCCGUCGUCAGCUUACCCUGUGAAGGACAAAUAGUAAGCUAAACUGGUACAGCCUAAAACGUCAGGUCGAGGUGUAGCGUAUGAGAGGGGAAGAAAUGGGCUACAUUCGCUAUUUUAGCGAAUACGAAAAGUGUACUGAAACGUACACUCGAAGGAGGAUUUAGCAGUAAGUAGAAAAUAGAGCGUCCUACUGAAACUGGCCCUGAAGCGCGCACACACCGCCCGUCACUCUCUCCAAAAUUAACGCCAAAUUAACUAAAACCUAAUAAACAAAAAGGGGAGGC
rnacentral:rRNA from 1 species